UUGAAACUGAAACUGAUUUUUUUUUAUCAUAAAACUUAGUACAGAAAGAGACUGACACUCAAGCCCAUGUUAUCGCCUGUGCCAAAAUUGCAAACCUGUUUUAUCUCCCUAAUUCUCAAAUUGUAGCUGCUCUGGCUCCAGCACAAUUUAGAGCAGCUCAUUGACUGCUCUUAACUUAUGCCAGCUGGUUGUAAUUACUAAGGACUGUAUACCAGAUGAGAAUUGAAAUGUAGUUUUUAUCUACCACUGAGACGCCUCCGAUAUCGAGAGGGUAAUUGGUGAUGGAUGGCAGCAGGCUCAGCCAACUUUAUGCCACCUGAGUUAUUCUCUUCCCUUGCCAGGGGCAUCUCUGAUUCUGGCCCCUAAAUAUACCUCUUUCAGUACAUGGUGAGAGUUUGAUCUGUAUGUAAUUCCAAGUAAAACAAAUGAAAAACCGAGUGCCUGAAUUGAUGUCUGUUAUUCCUCGGACAAGAUUCUCUUAUUAAAUUUUGGUAAAAAAAAAUUUAGGCUGUUGUAUUAAAGAAUCAAUUUAAUAUUUGUAUAUUCAGAUGUCUAGAUAAUACUUAGUCCUGUCUUGAGUGCAGGGUACUGAACUAGAUCACCUCUUGAGGUCCCUUCCAGUCCUAUAAUUCUGUGUUUUGGAGUAUGGUCAUGUAGGAAGUCAGUCAGGAAAAGUUCUUCAAAUGAUGGUCCCUGUCUGUAUUGCGCUGAGGGUUAUAUGCAUUCACCAAGCGCUCCGAGCUGGAGCUUUUGAAAGUAGUCGUAUCUGCUGGUCCACAUGCACCCUUGCCUCCGCCUCAUGGUUUCUACCAAGGUGAUAAAAGGGUGGGGCAUACCAGCUGCACCCUCAGUUCCUUCUCACCGCCGCAUUGUCUGAGUUGGAGCCUUUUCUGUCCUCUCGACUCUUGUGAUGCAUUUUCCUAAACACAGAAAAAAGACUGUUUUACUCUUGUAUAUAGUUAGGAUUUUGUUACUGUUGUAGCAGUUUUUGUGUUAGAAGUAGUUUUUAGGAUUUUAAGGACUUUGGGAUGCCGUUUUACCAGCUACCCACCUUUCCUCCUCCUGCUCCCCCCCCCCCCAUGCCUGAGUAUUGGAUUACACCAAAGAUGCCAGGGUUCAAGAUCCGCACGUCUCAUUGGUGUGCAGUAUCUGCCUCUGCUUCCGGUCCUUACCUGGGAAGGCCAGAUUCUCCACCUUAAGAAGCACCUCAUGGAGGUAGCCAUGAGGCCGCACUCAGAUCCAGGCUGGGGAAGACACCACCAUCACCGCGGUACAUCAGCCUGAACGGUUGAGGAGCAUGUCUCCUAUCGUGGAGCUCCAGUCCAGUUCUGCUGGUACUAGCAUUACAGAUCCCGUUCAGGGUACCGAGCCGUGAGGCAAGGAAGAGUGUGCAUAAGCAUGGCAGUAAUUCUUCCUCAAAGCCCAAGAAUAUUGUUGCAUUCUCCAUGAGCUCCAGGCAUGGAGAAGUGGCACAUUCUAAGGCUCACAAGCACAACAAGAAGUUGCAUAGAACACAGGAUCCACCAGUCCCAGUUACAGAGCCAAGUAUCCUUUCUGGAUCGGUACUGCCAAAGUCACAGGAAUUGUUGGUUCCGAGGCAGUCCUCCAUUCCAUCUCCAGUUCCAUCUGUGGAAUGCAUGCUGCUGACACUGAGGAGGCUCGAGUCAGCUGCUGGAUCUCAUGAACUGUUUGUCCUGCAUGUGGUGACGUCACCAUGUCUCCCGGUUCAUUUGCCUCCCAUUCCUCUGCAUUGCACUUGCUGCCUUCGGGUCAUGUUCCUGAGCACAUCCCUGCAACUCAUUCGGAUCCGCUCAUUCUGACGGCACCACCAUUCGAACAAGGAUCUGACUUAUCAGUGUCUGAGGACUCGGAUGGAGCACAUGAUCUGCCUCUCCCAUUCCGUCGGCAUGAAUGCCCAAAACCUCCAUGAGCUCAGUGGCAAUAUCCUCUCUUUCCUCAGCACAGGAGCUACUGGUACCCCACUCCGUGGGGACCCCUGCAGCAACCGCAAGAUCCUCCUGGUUGCCCAUACUGGGAGUCUUGGCCCAAAUAUGGAACCUGUGGAACCUUCCUGAUCUGCCCAAGAGGAGUCCCUCAUCUCGCCACUCUGUCCUUCAUCAAGUAGAUGUUUGGACCUGGGGUUGGAAGAUGCACUGGUUAGCCCGACUCCGCUGGAUCCAGAGUAGUUCCCCUCAUCUCCAGAUGUGGCAGUGUUGUGGACUACUUCCUCCCCUCCGAGCGACUAGCACCAAUUCCAGGAACUGUUACAUAGGGUGGCUGCUGCCCUCCACAUUCCACUGCAGGAGGUGUAGGACAGCAAACAUCAGUUAGUUGAUGUUCUGCAUGUAUUGGUACCAUCCAGAGUGGCACUCCUGAUCAACUAGGCCAUUUUCCAACCAGCCCGUACUGGCAUACCCUGGCCACUUGCGCACCUACCCCAAAAGGGACAUUUAAAAAAAGAUACUAUGUACCAAUGAAAGGUCUGAGUUUCUGCUUUCUCACCCCUCCUGCACCCCCCUCCCAUCCAAUUCCCUAGUUAUUCAGGCUGCUACUAAACGGGCCAGGCAGCAACACCCACUUUCCGCUCCGACAAGGAGGGUAAGAAAGUCUUUUCUUCAGCCAGCCUUCAGUUUCAUAUUUCUAAUUGCUUGGCUUUACUGACAAAAUAUGACUUUUUGAAUUAUGACCAAUUUUGGACUUUGCAGUCAAGCUUCCCCAGCAGGAUCAUGCCCACUUCCAGGCUAUUUUAAAAGAAGGCAAACUGGUCACCCAGGCAACGCUUCAGGCCAUGGUGGAUUCGGUGGACCCAUCUUCACGCACUAUGGUCACAGGGAUCGUCUUGGGGGGGGGGGGGAAUCCUGGCUGCAUUCAUGUGGUUUCCCAGGGGAGGUGCAGAACACAAUUGAGGAUCUCCCUUUUGAUGAAUCUCACCUCUUCAGCUAGAAGGCUGAUGAUUCCCUGCACUCCCUCAAAGACUGUAGAGCCGCCCUAUGAUCACUGGGUAUUUAUACACCCCUGUGCAAAUUCUAUCCAACUCCUGCACGAUGGCACAGAACUCUUCAAUUCUUCUUACGAGCCUCCCCAUAAGUGUCAAAAGACCCAACAGCCCUGUCCACAUGGUCCGUCAGCGCAGUCUUUGACAUCACAUAUGCAAACUUCACGUAAACAAUAAUUCUGAGUGCAGUUAGAGAGCCGUCAACCACCUUGCACCCCGCAGUUCAUACAACCUGCUCCUUUCAGGGCUGUCUAGCACACUUUCUGCCAGCCUGGAUUGCAAUAACAAUGGACAAGUGGGUCCUGUAUGAUGUUCAACAUAGCUGUAUGAUCAAGUUCAUGGUUCUACCUCAUCCAUAUCCUCCCUCCCCGUCCCAGUCCUACCUCUUAGACCACUCUCACAAUAGUCCACCUCUAAGGUGAGGAUACUGACUCCUGCAGAGAGAGGUGAUAGAGCCUGUUCACAUGACCUUUCAGGGCACAGGGUUCUACUCCAUCUAUUUCCUGCUACCCAAGAAAAAGCGGGGAACGAGACAAACCCUAGAUCUCUGUGGUCUCAACCACUUCAUAUGCAAGCCGAAGUUUUAUGUGGUCAUUCUCGCAGCCAUUGCCUCUUGCUAGAAAGAGGCAUGUGGUAUACAGCAAGAUGCUUACUUCAACAUAGAUAUCCACGCAAACCACAGAUGGUUCUUGAGCUUUACAGUGGGCCCUUGGCACUUGCAAUACAGAGUUCUACCGUUCAGGCUCACCACUACUCCUCAGGUCUUCCUGUCAUGUUCUCAUCAUGUCAGACAACAUUGCCACUGUUUACUACAUAAACAAGCAAGGGGGCACAAGAUCACCAGCGCUGUGUGUGGAAGCAUCGCACACAGUAUCCUGUUUUCAGUGGCUUAUCUCCCAGAGACUCAGAACAUGAUUGGAUGCUCUCAGCAGGAAUUUCAUGGCUGACCACAAAUGGGAGCUAAACAAUUCCGUGGUCGUAGACAUUUUCGGCUGUUGGGUGACUCUGACCAAGGAUCUCUUUGCCUCCCAUGCAAGCACCAAAUGCGGACGGUACUCCUUCCAGGGCAGGCUCGGAGCCUGUUCCAAGAACACCCAGUCAUCCACUGGUCAGACCAGUUCAAUUAUGCCUUCUCUCCCCUACCUCUCCUGCCCUGGGUCCUCCCCAAGAUUCUAUGGGAUGGGGGUGGGGGGGGGCGACUGUCAUCCUGAUCACCCUGUCCUGGCCUCUCUAUUUCUGGUUUCCGCUUAUUCUCCGCCUGUCAAACCAUACUUCAUUUCUAAUACCAACAUUCCCAGAGCUGCUCUCAUCACACAACAGCAGGUUCAAGCAUCCUGAUCCACAGGCUUCACUUGAGACCCUGGUUUUUGGAUGAGCAUUUUGAGUUGAACGGAAGUGCUCAUCAGUAGUACGAGGCAUCCUCAUGAGUAGCAGGAAAGAAUCCACUUGGUGAUCCUGCCAAGCCAAGUGAAAAUAUAUUGGCUCCUGGGCCAUGCAGAAAGGGCUUGCCCCUGAGGCCAUGGGCAUUCCUCUUCUCUUGGACUAUCGCCUGUCCUUGAAAGUAUCUGAACUCACUCUAAGCUCUUGUCAAGAUACAUGUAGCAGUCAUUAAGGCUUUCCACAGUCCUGUGGAAGGGCACUUGGUUUUCACUCACAUAUUAACUGCAAGGUUCUGGAAGGGCCUCAUAUCCUCCCAUUCAUUCCAUCAUUCCACAGAACUAAGGCUGUCAAAUGAUUUUUU